rnacentral:rRNA from 1 species
CUCGGAGUUUGAUCCUGGCUCAGAUUGAACGCUGGCGGAAUGCUUUACACAUGCAAGUCGAACGGUAGAGGGGGCAACCCCUUGAGAGUGGCGAACGGGUGAGUAAUAUAUCGGAACGUGCCCAGUCGUGGGGGAUAACGUAGUGAAAUUACGCUAAUACCGCAUACGAUCUACGGAUGAAAGCGGGGGACUCGCAAGAGCCUCGCGCGAUUGGAGCGGCCGAUAUCAGAUUAGGUAGUUGGUGGGGUAAAGGCUCACCAAGCCAACGAUCUGUAGCUGGUCUGAGAGGACGACCAGCCACACUGGAACUGAGACACGGGUCCAGACUCCGUACGGGAGGCAGCA